rnacentral:rRNA from 1 species
UACGGGGGGGGCAAGCGUUGUUCGGAAUUACUGGGCGUAAAGGGCUCGUAGGCGGCCAACUAAGUCAGACGUGAAAUCCCUCGGCUUAACCGGGGAACUGCGUCUGAUACUGGAUGGCUAGAGGUUGGGAGAGGGAUGCGGAAUUCCAGGUGUAGCGGUGAAAUGCGUAGAUAUCUGGAGGAACACCGGUGGCGAAGGCGGCAUCCUGGGCCAAUUCUGACGCUGAGGAGCGAAAGCCAGGGGAGCAAACGGG